UGCAGAUCCAUUUUCUGCCACCGAAUACAUUAGCAUGGGAUAAUGGAAUAGGACCCUGUCCUCCUAUUUUCAGUUGGUUUUGGCAGCGCGAGGACUAGGGUAAUGAUUAAUAGGGAUAGUUGGGGGCAUUAAUAUUUAAUUGUCAGAGGUGAAAUUCUUGGAUUUAUGAAAGAUUAACUUCUGCGAAAGCAUCUGCCAAGGAUGUUUUCAUUAAUCAAGAACGAAAGUUAGGGGAUCGAAGACGAUCAGAUACCGUCGUAGUCUUAACCAUAAACGAUGCCGACCAGCGAUUAGGAGACGUUGAAUACAAAACACCACCAUCGGUUGCGGUCGUCCUUGGCGUCUCGGUUUCGGCCGGGGCGCGGGGACGGUUUAGCCCGGUGGCACCGGUGAAUGACUCCCUAGCACUUUUGU
rnacentral:rRNA from 1 species